GAGUCCAUGAUUCCCCUUCUCAUUUUUUUUUUUUUUUUUUUUUUUUUUUUUUGCGUGGAAGGCUAGCAAUAGUCAAUAGAGCAUAUAUACAUAUAAUAGCUAGGAAUUUAUUGUCCUUUUUUCAAAAUUCUUGUUUCUUUCAAACUUAGUACUAAUAGGCGCAUUACACAUAUGACAUAACGUACAUUGACGAUUUUUAUAAUAUAAUACACUGUUAUGUCGUUAAAAAAAAUAUUUCUAAGAAUUUAGCAACUGAAAAGUGUCUAAUUACCUAUUAAUAAUAAGCUAUGCUAUAAAUUACUAAUCAAGCAAAAGAGUUAAUAUGAGAUGAUCUUUAUUCAUAAUAACAAAUACAAAAGAACCAGAUUUCUGGGCGAUAAAACAGGAUCAAAAAGCGGGAGAAUUGAGGUUCUAUCACAUGCUUCCUUCAAAAACAAAUAUCGAUCCAAAAAGACUAGAGUUUCAAUGAUGGGAGCCAUAGAGAGCCGGAGUAUAUAAAAAACAGAGACCUUCCACCACUCCUUUUCCAGAUCCAUCUCAGCCUCCUUCAUUUCCGUAGCGGAUAUAUUCAGUUCCUUAAGAUUUGCGGUGGCGGCCAAGGCAUACUCUUCAAAACUAAGUCUAUGGGUUUGAGGUACACUUUUGAGGGAUAUAUGCUUAUAUUGACUCCCUUUCCGAAUAAGGAUCCGCUCUAGAAGGGCUCGGUAGCAAUGCACUCUAAGGAGGGACUCAUAGUCGUCUGACUUUAACUUUUUUAUAUAGGUCUCCAAGGCGUGACAGCCCAACUCUCGAGCCUCAUAGGAUAAAGAUCUAUGGCUAAAGUCCGAGCUCAUAAGAUUUAAAUUUCCCUUCAUGUAGCAACAAGUUGCAAGACAGAGAAACUUUGAGGAAGAAGACGCUUUAUAGAGUCGUAUGAUCCUGGAGGAUAAAUCCCCGCAUGCAUGAAGCCCCACUAGACCCACCCCAUGAUGCUCUUGGUUUUUGAAUAAGGAGUCCUGGGUAUGGGACUGUAGUGUUUCCUCAGAAAUAUUCUGGACGGAAUGUACAGGAAGAAUAUGAGAUGAAGGAGAUCGUGACUUCAUCUUUUUGACGAAAAGCUCAUCCAUUUCCUUUGCUUUGACUGUGAGUACUUCUUGAGUCUCGAGCCCAAAGGAGUGAAGACCAUGAAUGAAAGAGAGGCGUCUACAUAAAUGUCCUAUCUGGAAAUACAAUGCCUGAAAAGACCCGCUCAAUCAUAGGAACACAGAAAGACUCAUCCUACUCCAGAUCCAAAAUCAAAUACUGCAGAAGUGGACGUCAUCUCGGCCAUGGAAUGGAUAAGAGGAGCAAAAACCCGCAACUCGUGUUCUUUUUUGGGGUUGACUUUUCGGCGAAAGAGUGGAUCCAAUUCUUGGUGGGAAAGUACCGGAAUAACAUCAUCGUUCAGGUUGAGGUUUUGGGACGGAAGACGAUUGAGGGAUAAUUUGGAUAUGACAGCCUUGAGUGCAAUAAGGGAGAGAGGGAGGAGAGAGUCACACUCCUGCUCCAGGGGCGCCUCUCUAUUCCCAUUGGAAAGCCAGGAUCCAAGAGUCGAGGGAGAGAUCCGUGACAGUGUGCACUGCCACGAAGACGCCAAUUUGGACCAAAGGGACUCUAUGAAGUAGUCUAGGACCAUGGAGUUAAUGAGCCAGUCGUAGUGAUCCAAUAGUUGUAAACAUUCCUGGAUCAUAUGUCUCGUCUGGGACUCUGUGGGGGAGAAUCCGAGUCCCUGGGCCCGAGGAUUCAUCCUAUUCAUUGGUAUUUAUGAUCUAAAGUUGAUGAUGGACUUUAUUCCGUUGCAUCAAUGGUACUUAGAGCUAGAAGUCUAUGGAUUGAGCAGUUGUCAGUUAAGUAAGGAAAAAGUGAAAUUAAUAUAGAUCGCGCUCUUUUAAGGACUUGACGGGACUGCAAAAACAUUUCUCAUAUUAAUAAAGACAAAGUCAAUAAAGUUCUUUUAAACAGCUCAUAUCUUACGCAUUUUUCACAAUAAUCUAUCUUGUAUAUUACAGAAAGUUAAACCAUCAAACAAUUAUGAUUUCAAUAGUAUUGAAUAUGUAUGUACUUUAUAUUUUCUUAAUCUAACCCAAUGUUAUACUGAAAUAAUUUAUAAUUUUAUUACAAAAUAAAUAUCUAGGCCAAUUUCUGAAAAUGA
rnacentral:lncRNA from 1 species